CCCAAAGGCAGAGGCCGCGAUGGGUUUUUUGGCAGCAGAUGCGAUUGCUGUCAGGAGUGCUUCAAGGAAUUCAGGAAUUAAGCAACAUCUUUGAGCGGGACUGUAUGGAAGAGCCACGUUUGUGCCAUCUAGUCUCAGCCUUAUCUCCCAGGAUGUUAUAAACCCACAUAGUUUCGUAAUUGUAAAGUGGAUGAACUUUCAUUUCGCGCUGCAGCUUUUGCUGGGAAUGAAAGCUGUGAAUUAACAAGUCGGGUCGCCAAGCAGGAAAAUCAUUAAGGAUCUUCAGCUGCACAAACGCAUGCUCAGACAGGUCCUAAGAUUCGCAGUGAUUCCUCCUCCUCAUCCUGUCUUUGCAAUCGGCACAACUGGCCCCCGUGCCAAUGGGAAUGAGACCACGGGAGCUGCAGCAAGUGAAAAUUCAGUGUGCACGGUGCUUUGUGGGAAGCGUGAAGCAUCCUGCCAUGCUUUGGAGUUUGUGUUUCUUCUCACAAGGUGUUUUAAAUAAGUACAGAGGAGUUGGUAGAAGCUAUUUACUAGAAAUUGGGUUUGUAAGCUAAAAAGCACAUGUGAACACCCGAGGGCCUGGCAGCAGGGUAUGUGGCUCUUAUACUGGGAAAAUAACAAGGGAGCUCCAAAGAAAUACAAAUAACUCCUGUAUUUUUUUUCAGUUGUGAAGAAAGCACAAAAAUGCCUUGAAAUAUUUGAGAUGAAGGGACUGCUAGAACGUGGCCACAUUAUUUGGCUGCUUGCUUUACCUCCUGAGCCAAAUUCUGCUGCUGUGGUUAUGGUGCAGUUGGUGCGGGACCCCGGGGUGCUCAGGGUGACCGUCCGCUCCCCACCGCAGCCAGCACAUGGUGGUCCCCAGGUCCUGGUGACGCUGAUGUGGCAGCCGGGUCUGACCCCUGCGGAGCCCCAGGAGCUGCAUCCUGUAUAAUCCUUCAAGCACCGAGUUGGUGGGAAGGAAGGAAGCGAACAGGAAGGUACAUUUAUCAGAAUCUUAAAAAAAUAAGUAACAAAAGACGUUUGAGCUGGAGGUUGAGAGUGGGAUUCUGUGUCCUGUGUGGCUUUUUGCAGCCUGGAAGAGAGGAGAAGGGCGAGCAACACGCUGGCAAAAUGGGACCUGAAUAACACUGAAGGUCCUGCCCCUUGGCCUGAUUCGUUGAGCCAUCCCAGAUUCGUUACGCAUUUGUCAAAAGCUCAGAAUUAAUUAUUUCCCCACGUAAAUGAAGAGACUCCACAAGAAUUGCUGUCGCCGUGUACGACGAUGAUAGUGGGAUGUGAAUACUCAGAAUUGGGAUGUCCUUGCUCUCCAGGCACCCAAAACACUUUCCUACACCUGUACAGCCUCUCCCUCGCUAAACUGCAAAUAAAGAAAUACCAGCUAGU